rnacentral:rRNA from 1 species
UACAGAGGUCUCAAGCGUUGUUCGGAUUCAUUGGGCGUAAAGGGUGCGUAGGUGGCGGGAUAAGUCAGGUGUGAAAUUUCGGAGCUUAACUCCGAAACUGCAUUUGAUACUGCCUUGCUUGAGGACUGGAGAGGAGACUGGAAUUCACGGUGUAGCAGUGAAAUGCGUAGAGAUCGUGAGGAAGACCAGUGGCGAAGGCGGGUCUCUGGACAGUUCCUGACACUGAGGCACGAAGGCCAGGGAGCAAACGGGG